rnacentral:rRNA from 1 species
UACAGAGGUCUCAACCGUUGUUCGGAUUCAUUGGGCGUAAAGGGUGCGUAGGCGGUCGUGCAAGUCGGAUGUGAAAUCUCAGGGCUCAACCCUGAAACUGCAUUCGAUACUGCGUGGCUAGAGUGCUGGAGAGGAGACUGGAAUUUACGGUGUAGCAGUGAAAUGCGUAGAUAUCGUAAGGAAGACCAGUGGCGAAGGCGAGUCUCUGGACAGCAACUGACGCUGAGGCACGAGGGCCAGGGGAGCAAACGGG